rnacentral:rRNA from 1 species
UACGGAGGGUGCAAGCGUUAAUCGGAAUUACUGGGCGUAAAGCGCACGCAGGUGGCUGAGUCAGUCGAUUGUGAAAGCCCUGGGCUUAACCUGGGAAUUGCAGUCGAUACUACUCAGCUAGAGUAUGGGAGAGGGUAGUGGAAUUCCGGGUGUAGCGGUGGAAUGCGUAGAGAUCCGGAAGAACACCGGUGGCGAAGGCGGUCUGCUGGGGUAAUGCUGACACUGAUGCGCGACAGCGUGGGGAGCAAACAGG